CCCACUUCUGAAAAGGCAAUGAGAGGAUGGUGCAAAAAGAUGGGGCAGAGUUCAGCCCUCCUGCACAGGGUCACUAGGAGUCAGAAUCGACUCA